rnacentral:antisense_RNA from 2 species
CUUCACCGACCCGAGCCAGAGCGGCUGUUCGGCCGGGCGGUCCUUGCCGUAGGUGGCGAGCAGGGCGUGUGCCUC